rnacentral:rRNA from 1 species
AUUGAACGCUGGCGGCAGGCUUAACACAUGCAAGUCGAGCGGGGGAAGGUAGCUUGCUACUGGACCUAGCGGCGGACGGGUGAGUAAUGCUUAGGAAUCUGCCUAUUAGUGGGGGACAACAUCUCGAAAGGGAUGCUAAUACCGCAUACGUCCUACGGGAGAAAGCAGGGGAUCUUCGGACCUUGCGCUAAUAGAUGAGCCUAAGUCGGAUUAGCUAGUUGGUGGGGUAAAGGCCUACCAAGGCGACGAUCUGUAGCGGGUCUGAGAGGAUGAUCCGCCACACUGGGACUGAGACACGGCCCAGACUCCUACGGGAGGCAGCAGUGGGGAAUAUUGGACAAUGGGUGGAACCCUGAUCCAGCCAUGCCGCGUGUGUGAGGAAGGACUUAUGGUUGUAAAGCACUUUAAGCGAGGAGGAGGCUACUCUAGUUAAUACCUAGGGAUAGUGGACGUUACUCGCAGAAUAAGCACCGGCUAACUCUGUGCCAGCCGCCGCCGUAA